AUGGUGCGGGGGAAGACGGAGAUGAAGCGGAUAGAGAACGAGACGAGCCGGCAGGUGACCUUCUCCAAGCGCAGGAACGGGCUGCUCAAGAAGGCCUUCGAGCUCUCCGUGCUCUGCGACGUCGAGGUCGCGCUCGCCGUCUUCUGCCCUCGUGGCAGGCUCUACGAGUUCUCCAGCGCCACCAGCUUGCAGAAAUCGAUUGACCGCUAUAAGUCUUAUAGGAAGGAUAAUAAUGUUAAUAACAAGACAGUACAGCCAGAUAUACAGCAAGUCAAAGCCGAUACUGUAAGCUUGGCAAAGAAACUUGAAGCUCUUGAAGUUUCGAAGCUAAAGAUCUUGGGUGAGAAUUUAGGAGGGUGCUCUGCUGAAGAACUGAACUGUCUGGAAGUAAAUAUUGAGAAGAGUCUCCGCAUCAUCAGAGGAAAGAAGACCCAGGUGCUCGAACAGCAGAUAGCUAACCUGAAAGAAAAGGAGAGGACGCUUCUCAAAGACAACGAAGACUUGCGUGGAAAGCAGCGCGACCUUGAGGCUUCGCUGGUGGUUCCUGCCCUGAACUGCGUCACGCCCCUGCAGCCACGUGGCCAGCUGGCACCAGAGCAGGAACCGGUACCGAGCGACGAGGACGUGGAGACGGAGCUCUACAUUGGGUUGCCCGGGGUUCGCUGCUCCAACCGGCGGUCAGGUUAA
rnacentral:rRNA from 1 species